UUAAGCGACUAAGCGUACACGGUGGAUGCCCUGGCAGUCAGAGGCGAUGAAGGACGUGCUAAUCUGCGAAAAGCGUCGGUAAGGUGAUAUGAACCGUUAUAACCGGCGAUGUCCGAAUGGGGAAACCCAGUGUGAUUCGUCACACUAUCGUUAACUGAAUACAUAGGUUAACGAGGCGAACCGGGGGAACUGAAACAUCUAAGUACCCCGAGGAAAAGAAAUCAACCGAGAUUCCCCCAGUAGCGGCGAGCGAACGGGGAGCAGCCCAGAGUCUGAAUCAGCUUGUGUGUUAGUGGAACGGUCUGGAAAGUCCGACGGUACAGGGUGAUAGUCCCGUACACCAAAAUGCACAGGCUGUGAACUCGAAGAGUAGGGCGGGACACGUGGUAUCCUGUCUGAAUAUGGGGGGACCAUCCUCCAAGGCUAAAUACUCCUGACUGACCGAUAGUGAACCAGUACCGUGAGGGAAAGGCGAAAAGAACCCCGGCGAGGGGAGUGAAAAAGAACCUGAAACCGUGUACGUACAAGCAGUGGGAGCACCUUCGGGUGUGACUGCGUACCUUUUUGUAUAAUGGGUCAGCGACUUAUAUUCUGUAGCAAGGUUAACCGUAUAGGGGAGCCGCAGGGAAACCGAGUCUUAACUGGGCGUUAAGUUGCAGGGUAUAGACCCGAAACCCGGUGAUCUAGCCAUGGGCAGGUUGAAGGUUGGGUAACACUAACUGGAGGACCGAACCGACUAAUGUUGAAAAAUUAGCGGAUGACUUGUGGCUGGGGGUGAAAGGCCAAUCAAACCGGGAGAUAGCUGGUUCUCCCCGAAAGCUAUUUAGGUAGCGCCUCGUGAACUCAUCUUCGGGGGUAGAGCACUGUUUCGGCUAGGGGGUCAUCCCGACUUACCAACCCGAUGCAAACUACGAAUACCGAAGAAUGUUAUCACGGGAGACACACGGCGGGUGCUAACGUCCGUCGUGAAGAGGGAAACAACCCAGACCGCCAGCUAAGGUCCCAAAGUCAUGGUUAAGUGGGAAACGAUGUGGGAAGGCACAGACAGCCAGGAUGUUGGCUUAGAAGCAGCCAUCAUUUAAAGAAAGCGUAAUAGCUCACUGGUCGAGUCGGCCUGCGCGGAAGAUGUAACGGGGCUAAACCAUGCACCGAAGCUGCGGCAGCGACACUAUGUGUUGUUGGGUAGGGGAGCGUUCUGUAAGCCUGCGAAGGUGACCUGUGAGGGUUGCUGGAGGUAUCAGAAGUGCGAAUGCUGACAUAAGUAACGAUAAAGCGGGUGAAAAGCCCGCUCGCCGGAAGACCAAGGGUUCCUGUCCAACGUUAAUCGGGGCAGGGUGAGUCGACCCCUAAGGCGAGGCCGAAAGGCGUAGUCGAUGGGAAACAGGUUAAUAUUCCUGUACUUGGUGUUACUGCGAAGGGGGGACGGAGAAGGCUAUGUUAGCCGGGCGACGGUUGUCCCGGUUUAAGCAUGUAGGCUGGUUAUCCAGGCAAAUCCGGAUAAUCAAGGCUGAGGUGUGAUGACGAGGCACUACGGUGCUGAAGUAACAAAUGCCCUGCUUCCAGGAAAAGCCUCUAAGCAUCAGGUAACAUCAAAUCGUACCCCAAACCGACACAGGUGGUCAGGUAGAGAAUACCAAGGCGCUUGAGAGAACUCGGGUGAAGGAACUAGGCAAAAUGGUGCCGUAACUUCGGGAGAAGGCACGCUGGUGUGUAGGUGAAGCCCCUGCGGGUGGAGCUGAGACCAGUCGAAGAUACCAGCUGGCUGCAACUGUUUAUUAAAAACACAGCACUGUGCAAACACGAAAGUGGACGUAUACGGUGUGACGCCUGCCCGGUGCCGGAAGGUUAAUUGAUGGGGUUAUCCGUAAGGAGAAGCUCUUGAUCGAAGCCCCGGUAAACGGCGGCCGUAACUAUAACGGUCCUAAGGUAGCGAAAUUCCUUGUCGGGUAAGUUCCGACCUGCACGAAUGGCGUAAUGAUGGCCAGGCUGUCUCCACCCGAGACUCAGUGAAAUUGAACUCGCUGUGAAGAUGCAGUGUACCCGCGGCAAGACGGAAAGACCCCGUGAACCUUUACUAUAGCUUGACACUGAACAUUGAGCCUUGAUGUGUAGGAUAGGUGGGAGGCUUUGAAGCGUGGACGCCAGUCUGCGUGGAGCCAACCUUGAAAUACCACCCUUUAAUGUUUGAUGUUCUAACGUUGGCCCUCCUGACCGGGGUUGCGGACAGUGUCUGGUGGGUAGUUUGACUGGGGCGGUCUCCUCCCAAAGCGUAACGGAGGAGCACGAAGGUUAGCUAAUCCUGGUCGGACAUCAGGAGGUUAGUGCAAUGGCAUAAGCUAGCUUGACUGCGAGCGUGACGGCGCGAGCAGGUGCGAAAGCAGGUCAUAGUGAUCCGGUGGUUCUGAAUGGAAGGGCCAUCGCUCAACGGAUAAAAGGUACUCCGGGGAUAACAGGCUGAUACCGCCCAAGAGUUCAUAUCGACGGCGGUGUUUGGCACCUCGAUGUCGGCUCAUCACAUCCUGGGGCUGAAGUAGGUCCCAAGGGUAUGGCUGUUCGCCAUUUAAAGUGGUACGCGAGCUGGGUUUAGAACGUCGUGAGACAGUUCGGUCCCUAUCUGCCGUGGGCGCUGGAGAAUUGAGGGGGGGGCUGCUCCUAGUACGAGAGGACCGGAGUGGACGCAUCACUGGUGUUCGGGUUGUCAUGCCAAUGGCACUGCCCGGUAGCUAAAUGCGGAAGAGAUAAGUGCUGAAAGCAUCUAAGCACGAAACUUGCCCCGAGAUGAGUUCUCCCUGAGACUUUAAGUCUCCUGAAGGAACGUUGAAGACGACGACGUUGAUAGGCCGGGUGUGUAAGCGCAGCGAUGCGUUGAGCUAACCGGUACUAAUGAACCGUGAGGCUUAACCU
rnacentral:rRNA from 1 species